rnacentral:rRNA from 1 species
UGGCGGACGGGUGAGUAAUGUCUGGGAAACUGCCUGAUGGAGGGGGAUAACUACUGGAAACGGUAGCUAAUACCGCAUAACGUCGAAAGACCAAAGAGGGGGACCUUCGGGCCUCUUGCCAUCGGAUGUGCCCAGAUGGGAUUAGCUAGUAGGUGGGGUAACGGCUCACCUAGGCGACGAUCCCUAGCUGGUCUGAGAGGAUGACCAGCCACACUGGAACUGAGACGCGGUCCAGACUCCUACGGGAGGGCAGCAUG